rnacentral:rRNA from 1 species
CCUACGGGUGGCAGCAGUGGGGAAUAUUGGGCAAUGGGCGAAAGCCUGACGCAGCGACGCCGCGUGAGGGAUGAAGGUCUUCGGAUUGUAAACCUCUGUCAGCAGGGACGAACGGUCACUCUGCUAAUCAGCAGUGAAUUGACGGUACCUGCAAAGGAAGCACCGGCUAACUCCGUGCCAGCAGCCGCGGUAAUACGGAGGGUGCGAGCUUUAAUCGGAAUUACUGGGCGUAAAGGGCUCGUAGGCGGUAGGUCAAGUCAAGGGUGAAAUCCCCGCGCUCAACGUGGGAACUGCCUUUGAAACUGGCGAACUUGAGUGGGUGAGAGGAUAGUGGAAUUCCAGGUGUAGGAGUGAAAUCCGUAGAUAUCUGGAGGAACAUCAGUGGCGAAGGCGACUAUCUGGCACAUAACUGACGCUGAGGAGCGAAAGCGUGGGUAGCAAACAGGAUUAGAUACCCCUGUAGUC